AAAGCGUGCGCAGGCGGUAAUGUAAGACAGAUGUGAAAUCCCCGGGCUCAACCUGGGAACUGCAUUUGUGACUGCAUUGCUGGAGUGCGGCAGAGGGGGAUGGAAUUCCGCGUGUAGCAGUGAAAUGCGUAGAUAUGCGGAGGAACACCGAUGGCGAAGGCAAUCCCCUGGGCCUGCACUGACGCUCAUGCACGAAAGCGUGGGGAGCAAACAGGAUUAGAUACCCCUGU
rnacentral:rRNA from 1 species